CCCUUAGAUUUUCUGGGCCGCACGCGCGCUACACUGAUGCAUUCAACAAGCCUAGCCUUGACCGAGAGGUCCGGGUAAUCUUUGAAACUGCAUCGUGAUGGGGCUAGAUUAUUGCAAUUAUUAAUCUUCAACGAGGAAUGCCUAGUAAGCGUGAUUCAUCAAAUCGCGUUGAUUACGUCCCUGCCCUUUGUACACACCGCCCGUCGCUCCUACCGAUUGAAUGUGUUGGUGAGGAGCUCGGAUUGGCAGCAGUUGGUGGUUCGCCACCGGCUAUUGCUGAGAAGUCCUCCAAACCGCCCCAUUUAGAGGAAGGAGAAGUCGUAACA
rnacentral:rRNA from 1 species